UAGGGAAUCUUGGACAAUGGGCGAAAGCCUGAUCCAGCCAUGCCGCGUGAGUGAUGAAGGCCUUAGGGUUGUAAAGCUCUUUCGCCAGGGAAGAUAAUGACGGUACCUGGAUAAGAAGCCCCGGCUAACUUCGUGCCAGCAGCCGCGGUAAUACGAAGGGGGCUAGCGUUGUUCGGAAUUACUGGGCGUAAAGCGCACGUAGGCGGCUUUCCAAGUUGGAGGUGAAAUCCCUGGGCUUAACCCGGGAACUGCCUCCAAAACUGAAAGGCUAGAGUCCGAGAGAGGUGAGUGGAAUUUCCAGUGUAGAGGUGAAAUUCGUAGAUAUUGGAAAGAGCACCAGUGGCGAAGGCGGCGCACUGGCUCGGUACUGACGCUGAGGUGCGACAGCGUGGGGAGCAAACA
rnacentral:rRNA from 1 species